rnacentral:lncRNA from 1 species
UUCCAUUAAGGGACAUGAAAUAGAUCCUAAAUUUAUAUUAUAUAGAUAUAGAUUAUACUAUUUGCAUUAACUUAUAAAAAAAUAAUCAAAGACAUGUUACCGUAUUAAGAAAAAAACAUGACAAUAAAUAUUAAUACUAAUAAUAUCAUUCAUAAAUCUCGUGCACGGGGUGACAAUAAAUCCACUGAUCAAUGAAUUAUAUUAGAGGUUAUUUCUUCCCACAUUUUCCGUGAAGGAAACAGCUGCGCAGAUAGGUUCGCUUCUAUGGGUCACUCCAGUGUUGGUGUGGUCUGGCUAGACACUCUUCCUAUUGAUUUAAGGCUUCAUUUCUAUAGGGAUAGCUGUACACUUCCAAAUUACAGAUUCCCAUGAUCUGUUUUUUGGCUGCUUUUUCUUGUUUCUUCUAUUUAUUUUCUAUUUCCUUCUCUUUUUGUUUUUUGAGGGUUUUGGUCUAGUCCCCUCUCCUUUUGUAUUUAUUUUUUUCCCCUUUUUUAAUAAAUUUUUUAGAGCGUGGCGGCAUAGGAUGGGGGUCUCUCGGGAUGCCAACCUAGUUGGGAUGUCGAUGAUGCCUCUUGAUGUCUGUCUACGUUCCUUGCUUAUCAAAAAAAAAAAAUAUAUCAUUCAAUUCUCCUCCAAAAUGUUUUUGUUAUUAUUAUUCCUAUAAUUAUAUGAUUUUCCAUAUUCUUAAAUAAUAUCUUUUCUUUGGCUUAAAUAUCAUUUUGGUCCCUUAAUUUAGUUUAAAGUACAGUUUUGUCCCAUAACAUUAGAAAUGGUCAUUUUGGUUGAUUAACUUAUUUUAAGAUUAUAGUUUGGUCUCUUAACUUUAAUAUCAGUCAAUUUAAUCUCUUAACUUUUGUAAAUUAGUGCAACUUGAUCCCUUUCCGUAUGUAAUUAACGAAGUUUGGUCUUUCAAUAGAUGUAUAUGAUAUUAAAUUUUCAUAAGUUAAAUGACCGAGUUGGUUUUUACGGACCUUAUACUUAAGCAUUAUUCAUUUAAAAUAUGCCAAAAUUGAGGCUUUCAUUUUGAAUAAAAAAUUAAGAUUUUUUUUAAUGAUUGCUAUCUGAAUUCAAAAUUUAAAAUGUUAACAAAACUGAUACUACUAUUAGUACAUAUUAAUAGCAAAAAGAGUGGCGAGUUGUGAAAUUUCCUUUUAAGAUACUUUUUGUAUAAACUAAACCUUGUCAUUUAUUUUCAUUUAUUUUAUUUAAAAUAAAUAUAAUUAAUUUCCAUUUUAAUGAUUAUAAAUUGUAAUAUUCACAUCAAUGUGUUCAUUAACAUCCCAUUAAUUUGGCAUUCCUUAAAAAAAACCAUUAAUUUGUCAUGACUAAUAUCCACUACACACUAAUAUUCGACAAUUGACUCAACAUUAAUCUUGACAGAAAAAACAUUGACAUACAUCUCUGAAUUAAUCCUUCACAUACAUAUGUAAGGAAUAUCAUAGUGGCAUAGUGGAAAAAGAACAAUCCCAGAAAGGAGAUAUUACAUGUUACCCUACUUUUUUUAAUAUAUUAUUUAAAACUAAUAACUUUGAGUUUAUAAAAAAAAUUGGAAUAUGGGUAAUUGGUUGAUGAUACAAUUACCGUGUAGUUAAAAAUAAUCAUGUGCUACAAAACUUCAUUGAAAAAUUAAAACCGUGGGAUUCUUUUUAAGAGCUAAAACCGUGUGAUGAUCCUUUCUUUAAAAGAACCGUCUAAUGAUCUAAUCUUGUCUUUUUACUUGAUGAAGUAAUUGCACAAUUUUAGAAUUCUAGUAAUAGAUAAAAAAAAAGUCUCCAAUCUAAAGAGUAUGUAUGAUUUUGGUUGACCAAUAUGAGAGAAUAAAAAGGUUGUCUUAAAAGGUCACAAAAAUGGAUGUACAAUAUUACUACAUUUUUCAUUAUUACCACUUAAAAAUUAAAAACCACUUCGAGUUUGAUCUCAAUUCAAACAAUCUGUGAAAAUGUGAUGCGUUUCAACGGAUUUGUUUCCCUCUCAGUAUAAAUUGGAAGAAUAAAGUAAAACCAAAUCUAAGCAACAAAUGAAAAUAUAAAAGAAAAAAAUGUUAAAAAGUAAAAUAGCAACAUAAGAAAUCACAAAAAAAAAAAAAAAAAGAAGAAUAUAAAUAUGAAUCAGUAGAUAGAAAAAGUAGUGAGUAUUAACUAUUAAGGUAUUAAAAUGAAAUAGAAGGGAGUAGAAAGUUGCGAUAUUUUAAUGUAGUAACAACAAUCCUUCAUAUACCUUUUAAUUGAUGCAUUUCUUCUUUUCGUUUGAUUGGGUUCCAUGUCCAAAAUAAAAAUUCGGUCGAAAACAAAGAACAAAAGCACAAAAAUAAGUUAAUUACAAAGAGAAAAAUAUGAAUAAGAAAAUGGCAACAUUAGAAAUCACAAUAAAAAACAACAGAACAAUAAGAAAUGUUAAACAAACAAUAAAAAAAAUAUGAAAUAAAGAAAGUAGCAAUACAUAAUUGAGUAUAUGAGGGAGAUAAAAGAAAAAAGAAUGAGGUUGAAAGUAGAGAUUUCAAUUGUGGUGGUUUUUUUAUGUAGCAAUGCUUCCUUUAUAUACUGAUGUGGGUAGAAUGAAUCUUUGCAUAAACCGUGGAGAUUGAUUUCUUUAAAACCAAAGGAUUAUAAAUUUUUAGGAAUGAAAUUAGUGUCGAAUUUUUUUGGUUGAUAAAAUUGCAGUAAAAUCAAUAGCAUUGAAGACAUUGAUUAUUUUUCUAUAAUAAUUUAGCAUAGAACAUGGGAUUGAGGUGAUAUAUGAGGAGGAAAUUUGAAGAAUGAAUAUUUGAAAUUAUUUAUUUUUAAUUUGAUUUGAAAUAUUAGAAUUAGAAUUGAAUUUGAAUGAGCAAUAAACACCGAAAAUUGAAAUAGAGCAGGAUGAAGGUUAUUACUCAAUUUGGUGUUUAGAGUGAUUAAAAUGGGAAAAUAUCAUCGCAAUGGAAAUAUCAUUUAAUGAGCAAUUAAAUUUUUAUAACUCAAAAAAAAAAUUGAAAUAGAGCAACACACUUAAUAAGAAAUUUAAUUGAAACGCUAUUUUGUUAAAAAAUAAUAAGUUGUCUAAUAUCAUUAAUAUCAUUAUUACGAAAAUAAAAAGUAAGAAAUGUCUAACAUUUUUUGGUGUUUUUUUUUUUUUGAAUAAACACUAUCUUUUUUGAAUAAAAAGUAAGAAAUGUCUAACAUUACGAAUUUGAAUAAUUCAAUCAAUUGUUUUAUUUUAAUUCAAACUAUCUUUUUUGAAAGAAUUUUAAUUUAAACUAUUUGAUUAUUAAAAAAAAUUUAUUUGAUUCAAAUUUGUACGUUUUGAAUUCGAAAUGUUUGAUUUCUAAGAUAAAUUCCAAUAAUAGAAUUUGAUAUUGUAAAACUUCCUUUUAUACAUGAACAUUAAAUACAAAUAUGUGAGGAUGAUUCUGGUGAGAGCAUUUUGUGAGGAUCAAUAUGGUGAGAGCAUUUGUAAAAAAGAAAGGGACAUGUGGCAACACCAAAACAAUAGUAAUUCAUUUCCAUAAAAGUCUAUGAAAUGGGUCCUAAAUUUAUAUUAUAUAGAUAUAGAUUUAUUUACCGAUCUCAUCGUCUCAAAGCUUAAUUAAGCAAUUUCAAUGAUAAGAAUAUGUCUUUUUGCAAUUUCCAACAAUUUGUAAGUCUCAUUCAUGCCAUAUUUUUUAUUCUUUUUUUAAAAUAUUGUUUUUAUCUUAAUUUUUAUUCUACUCAUUAAUUUUAACAUUUCACCAAUCUCAAAAAUUGAAAUAAGAUAGAAGAAAAUCUAAAUAAUAUUAUUUGUUGUCUUAUUUAAUUUUUUUAUAAUCAUUUUAGACUAGAUUACAAAAUCCACAACUACAAGGAUUGUGAAAAUAGAUAAAGUAAAAAUUUAAACUUAUGGGUGCAAAUAUAAUAACAAAAUUUUCUUAAAAAAACGCUAUAACUAGAUGACAACUUGUGGAAUUUUCUAAAAUAAUCUUAAGGGAACAUCUCAAACACACCCACAUAAGGAAAGGAGAAAUUCAAACAAAAUAGUACACUUCGGCUGAAGAUCAAAUGGGCAUAUCUUUGUUUGACAAUCAAAAUCUUGAGUACAAAUAACCAUAUUCGCUGAAAUGAAAAAAGAAAAUAAAAGACUUUAGUUGAAUGAGAUAAAAUAAAACAUAGCAAGUAACUGGGGAAAAUUGAAAGGAUAAAAAUUGGUUACCGUCAACGUUCAUUGCAAAAGGAAAUAGGGAAAUAAAGAUAAUUAUAACAUUAACAAAUUUAAUAACUUCAGCCAUAUUUUCAACCCUUUUUUUUUUGGUUACAAUAUUUUCAACCCUUUGCAUUGCAUGUAAGAAAUAUUAUAUAGUUUAAUCACGUUAUAAUUUAUAAAGUACACCCUCUCGUUAGAUACAUUAUAUAGUUUUUAGCGCUUACCGAUUGGUAAAAAAAUCCUUCCUAAAAUUAGAAUCAUUGUUAAAUAUCUCCUAAGUAUAACAAAGUGUUAUUUUUGUCCCUUUAGCAACCUUAGUAAACAGGUCACAUAAAAAACCUAUUGAAUCAAAAUAAUUCAUUUUGUUUUACAAAUAAUCCAUUAUUUUAAAAUUUUUCAUGAGAGAAAAGAAAUAACAAAGAGGAAUAAUAGCAUCGGGUUUUAUGAACCCUAGACUAUAGCAAAGCUAUCACUAAUGUAUAUGAUAUGUUUAAUAUUCAUCAAUAAUUCCUCAAGAUAUCAUUUAUGUUUUUUACUGAAUCAAGAGUGAGGAAAACAUCAAUGAACUGCUGGACAUCCCGACUAGGUCGGCACCCCCAGGGGACUUCAAUCCUCUGCCACUCACCCAUAUAUUAUAUAUAUAGAAAAAAGGGAAAAAAUAUGUACAAGAGGGGAGAAAAACCAAACCUUCAAAAGAAAACAACAAAAAGAAAUUACGGAAAACAAAAAUUAGGUAACCCAAAACGGUCCCUAAAAUAAUACUCCCAAACAAAAACGGGCAUAAUAUCCCAGCAAACCUUGGUGGGGUUUAGCAUGGGAAAGGGAAAGAGUUUCCCACCAUGGGAAAGUAAAUAUUGACCAUUAGAUCAUGUAAAGAACAUAGUUUUAUCAUAGACUCUCAACAUUAAUUUUUUUUUGCUUUAGCUUCCACCACCGCUCUCUCUUCCAUCACCAUUAACCCAUCAGCAACAACAAUAUCAAAAUUUCCUUAAAAUGAAAACACGGUCUCCACUCACCCACCACCAUUAGUAAUUAUUAAACUUUAAUCAUCAUCUUAGUCAAUUGAGAGAUGAAAUACCAAUUUAAUAAAUCAUCUUCUUAAUCUUCACUCACUCACUUGUAACAAAACCCCAAUUUAUUAUUUUAUCACUCACCUUUUCCCCCAAGUGAGUGAGUGAAGAUUAAGAAGAUGAUUUAUUAAAUUGUUUCCAUUUUCUAGACUUAUUUCAUUUUUUGAGAUCUGAUUCUGUUUGUUUGAGUUGUUUAGUUUUAAUUUGAUUUAUGGAAGACAUGUGAAGGAGAGAUGAUGUUGGAAGAUAGGGAAAAAAGAUAAUCUAGUGUUGAGAGUGUACCAUAAGACAAUGUUCUUUACUUAAUCUAAUGGAUAAAAUUUACUUUCUCAUGGUGGGAAACUAUUGUCCAUUUCCAUGCUAAAUGCCACCCCAAACCUUACCUGAGAGAGUGUGACCGAGACUAACAAACUUAUCUGCGCAGCCAUUGCCUUCUCGGUAAAUGUGAGAGGAGAGAACCUGUAAACCAUGAGAAAAAAAUUGUAGGGUGAUUAGUUUAUUAAUUUAUCAUGAUCCUCAUGAAUUUUCUAUUCUAUCGACUUAUUACAGUUAUGCAAGUUGUGGUAGUAUGUUAUACUUGCCAUAAAUUUGUGGGUCUUCAUCUUCUUAACCUUUAUGUCAUUUAAAUUCAAUUUAAAUUGAUUUAAUUUACUGUUUCUGAGAAUUGUUUGAAAAAUUCAAUUUUUUAUUGUUGAUGAUUUACACACCCACUAAAGAGUUUCACGAUAAUCACAACUAAUUACAAAUGCUCAAGGACACAUCCAAGUGACUUCCUAUCCUCAAGCACACAAGCAAGGGACUACUAAAUACUAAAUCAAAACUGAAAGAGAUUUCUAAGAGUUUAUAGAUAAAAGAAUUUUCUUACAUUUGAUAUACAAUCAGAUGUGUAAACAAUUAGAUAAAUGAACAAACUCUCAAGACUUAUAAUUUCUAAUAUAUGAACUUAGUAAGAAAUUCUUAAGUCUUAUACACGCUUUUGAGUUUGAUAGAUUAAGGACAAAGUUAAAAUUACAUAGUCUUGUUAUAAUUCUUCAAGUCUUCAGCUCCUUAUAUAGGAAAGUCUGAAGAGUCGUUGAUGGGACAUUUGAAAUUCAUUUACUGCAACUGGGAUUAUUCGUUCAUUCUUUUUGUCCUUGAAGUUCUUUGUUUGUAUCUGCAAAUAAUCAGAAGAAGACAAACUUUACUAUCUGCGUCUAAUAGAGACAACUUCAUAAGAGGACAAAUUCUGACAUGGAUUAUGGGUCCCUCAGAAUCUUCUACCUUUUGGAGUCUGUGUUGGAACAAAAUGUGUUUCACAAUAAACCUUAAUGAAUUUUGAUGAUAACAAGGUAUUAAAAAUUGUCAAUUGGUUAUUGCUAAUAAUUGUUCAAGUGUACAGGACCAUAGGCAAAGUUAAUCAAUUUCAAUAGGUCUUGGAAGAACAAUAGAGAGCAAAGGAAUCUAAAGCAUCUAAAGAAAACUGCGUCUGAAGCUAUGAAGUGCUUCUGAAGUAACAAGUGCCUUUGAAGUAAUGACGUCAUCAGAAGCAGAAGUCCAUCAGAAGCAGAAGUCCAUCAGAAGCUAUAUCAUCACCAUAAGCUAUAGUUGAUCAGUAAAUUUAAACUGAAGUUUCAAAGGAGCUGUUUUUCGUUUUAAUCUCGUCUAAGAAAACGAAGAAUUUAAAGGGAGGUAUCAACGGUCAU